CUAAGUGAACAAAGGAAAUGGUUUGCCCAGGUUGUCUAUGCCCCCACGUACUGGGGGAUGUUAUGAGGCAAUGAAGUUUGGGUUCAACAAUGCCUUGUGAAGUUAGAGAACUGUAACAGAGAUGCACCUAUACGACAGGCUGAGAUUUGCCAUCGAGGAAAGAGACCUUCCUCCCACCUUUUUUUCUAUUCCAAGGUAAGGAGACUAAGUUUAUCACUACCAGGAGUUCCUGUACCGCAGAUUCCAGAGCAGAAUCAGAAAUGAACAGGAAAAUAUGCCAAAGAACAGGAGAAGGGGCAAGGAAAAUAAAUUGAGUCUCAUAAUGGAGAAUUUGGAAAAGGAGGAGAGAGAAAAGGAAAAAUAUGUUUUGUCCUCAAACUUUGUGGUGUUUGAACACGGAUUCAGAAUGAAUUGAGUUCAACAACGAGGUAUCACAAUACAGUGUAAAUGAUACCAAGCAGCCAAUGAAACUAGGUUAGAAACAGCCAUCAACUUCGUCUGGUUCUCUUGAAUCUCAUGCUUUGUGGACACCCAAGGAGCCCCUGCUGCAGAAUUAAAACACCAACUUCAGGACUGGCUGAGUUCCUUAGGACACCCAGCACGAGCAUCGCAGUCACGUGACAAAUCUUGAAGAUGUCAGCAGCAGGAUACCUGAAAAAAGCAGAGAUGUUGUGACUGACUUGCCUUUGCUAUCCUUAUAAGAGUACAGGCACAAUAUACAAACUUGCUCCAUGGGUAUUUGAAGCAUAAAUGAACAGAUGGAUAAACAAAUAGGAAAUAUUCAGUGAUUGUUGGCGUUCUUCACAUUUCGGGCCCAGCUGCAGUAGAUUGAUGAAGAUUUUCCUGGCUGAGGUAGUCUCUUAAUAAACCAGAGUGUUUUA